rnacentral:rRNA from 1 species
GAUGAACGCUGGCGGCGUGCUUAACACAUGCAAGUCGAACGAUGAAGCCCAGCUUGCUGGGUGGAUUAGUUGCGAACGGGUGAGUAACACGUGAGUAACCUGCCCUUUACUCUGGGAUAAGCCUGGGAAACUGGGUCUAAUACUGGAUAUGACUUCUCAUCGCAUGGUGGGGGGUGGAAAGAUUUAUUGGUCUUGGAUGGACUCGCGGCCUAUCAGCUUGUUGGUGAGGUAUUGGCUCACCAAGGCGACGACGGGUAGCCGGCCUGAGAGGGUGACCGGCCACACUGGGACUGAGACACGGCCCAGACUCCUACGGGAGGCAGCAGUGGGGAAUAUUGCACAAUGGGCGCAAGCCUGAUGCAGCGACGCCGCGUGAGGGAUGACGGCCUUCGGGUUGUAAACCUCUUUCAGUAGGGAAGAAGCGAGAGUGACGGUACCUGCAGAAGAAGCGCCGGCUAACUACGUG